rnacentral:rRNA from 1 species
CUACGGGGGGCAGCAGUGGGGAAUAUUGGACAAUGGGGGAAACCCUGAUCCAGCAAUGCCGCGUGUGCGAAGAAGGCCUGCGGGUUGUAAAGCACUUUCGGUUGGGAGGACUGCUUCUAGCACUAAUAUUGUUGGAAGUUGACGUUACCUACAGAAGAAGCACCGGCUAACUCAGUGCCAGCAGCCGCGGUAAUACUGAGGGUGCAAGCGUUAAUCGGAAUUACUGGGCGUAAAGCGCGCGUAGGCGGCUAGAUCAGUCGGGUGUGAAAGCCCCGGGCUUAACCUGGGAACCGCAUCCGAUACUGUCUAGCUUGAGUACAGGAGAGGAGAGUGGAAUUCCACAUGUAGCGGUGAAAUGCGUAGAUAUGUGGAGGAACACCAAUGGCGAAGGCAGCUCUCUGGCCUGAUACUGACGCUGAGGUGCGAAAGCGUGGGGAGCAAACAGGAUUAGAUACCCUUGUAGUC